GCAUAUCAAUAAGCGGAGGAAAAGAAACCAACAGGGAUUGCUCUAGUGACGGCGAGUGAAGCAGCAAUAGCUCAAAUUUGAAAUCUGGCGUCUUCGACGUCCGAGUUGUAAUUUGUAGAGGAUGCUUCCGAGUGGCCACCGACCUAAGUUCCUUGGAACAGGACGUCAUAGAGGGUGAGAAUCCCGUAUGCGGUCGGAAAGGCGCUCUAUACGUAGCUCCUUCGACGAGUCGAGUUGUUUGGGAAUGCAGCUCUAAAUGGGAGGUAAAUUUCUUCUAAAGCUAAAUAUUGGCCAGAGACCGAUAGCGCACAAGUAGAGUGAUCGAAAGAUGAAAAGCACUUUGGAAAGAGAGUUAAAAAGCACGUGAAAUUGUUAAAAGGGAAGGGAUUGCAACCAGACUUGCUCGCGGUGUUCUGCCGGUCUUCUGACCGGUCUACUCGCCGCGUUGCAGGCCAGCAUCGUCUGGUGCCGCUGGAUAAGACUUGAGGAAUGUAGCUCCCUCGGGAGUGUUAUAGCCUCUUGUGAUGCAGCGAGCGCCGGGCGAGGUCCGCGCUUCGGCUAGGAUGCUGGCGUAAUGGUCGUAAUCCGCCCGUCUUGAAACACGGACC
rnacentral:rRNA from 1 species